UACGUAGGGGGCUAGCGUUGUCCGGAAUUAUUGGGCGUAAAGAGCUCGUAGGCGGCUUGUCGCGUCGGCUGUGAAAACCCGAGGCUCAACCUCGGGCCUGCAGUCGAUACGGGCAAACUAGAGUACUGCAGGGGAGACUGGAAUUCCUGGUGUAGCGGUGAAAUGCGCAGAUAUCAGGAGGAACACCGGUGGCGAAGGCGGGUCUCUGGGCAGUAACUGACGCUGAGGAGCGAAAGCGUGGGGAGCGAACAGG
rnacentral:rRNA from 1 species